rfam:Salmo salar isolate Sally breed double haploid chromosome ssa20, whole genome shotgun sequence.
UGGCUCAGGUGGUAGAGCGUGGUAUUUGCAAUGCCAGGGUUGUGGGUUCAAUUCCCAC